rnacentral:tRNA from 9 species
CCGUCGACUUUAUAAAUCGUGAGGGUUCAAGUCCCUCUAUCCCCA